rnacentral:rRNA from 1 species
GAUGAACGCUGGCGGCGUGCCUAAUACAUGCAAGUCGAGCGAAUGGAUUGAGAGCUUGCUCUUAUGAAGUUAGCGGCGGACGGGUGAGUAACACGUGGGUAACCUACCCAUAAGACUGGGAUAACGCCGGGAAACCGGGGCUAAUACCGGAUAACAUUUUGAACCGCAUGGUUCGAAAUUGAAAGGCGGCUUCGGCUGUCACUUAUGGAUGGACCCGCGUCGCAUUAGCUAGUUGGUGAGGUAACGGCUCACCAAGGCAAGGAGGCGUAGCCGACCUGAGAGGGUGAUCGGCCACACUGGGACUGAGACACGGCCCAGACUCCUACGGGAGGCAGCAGUAGGGAAUCUUCCGCAAUGGACGAAAGUCUGACGGAGCAACGCCGCGUGAGUGAUGAAGGCUUUCGGGUCGUAAAACUCUGUUGUUAGGGAAGAACAAGUGCUAGUUGAAUAAGCUGGCACCUUGACGGUACCUAACCAGAAAGCCACGGCUAACUACGUGCCAGCCGCCGCCGUAA